rnacentral:lncRNA from 1 species
GUGGAGGAGAUGGUGAUGGUGGUGGAGGAGACUUGUAGUAAUAGGGCGGGGGUGGUGACGGAGCCGGUGGAGGGGGAGACUUAUAGUAAUAGGGCGGGGGUGGUGAUGGAGAUGGCGGAGGAGGAGACUUGUAAUAAUAGGAUGGGGGUGGUGAUGGGGAUGGUGGUGGUGGUGACUUAUAGUAAUAUGGUGGUGGAGGUGAUGGUGACGGGGGUGGUGGCGACUUGUAGUAAUAUGGAGGAGGAGGAGAAGGCGAUGGUGGUGGAGGAGAUUUGUAAUAGUAAGGAGGUGGAGGCGAUGGUGACGGGGGUGGCGGUGAUUUAUAAUAGUAUAUAGGUGCAGGUUUUGGUGAUGGUGGAGGUGGAGACUUGUAAUAAUAGGGCGGAGGUGGUGAUGGGGAUGGUGGGGGUGGUGACUUAUAGUAGUAUGGUGGUGGAGGCGAUGGUGACGGGGGUGGUGGCGACUUGUAAUAAUAUGGAGGGGGAGGAGAAGGUGAUGGUGGUGGAGGAGAUUUAUAAU